rnacentral:tRNA from 1 species
GGCUCAGUGAUCUAGGGGUAUGAUUCCUGCUUUGAGUGCAGGAGGUCACGGGUUCAAAUCCCGGCUGAGUCC